AUUGAACGCUGGCGGAAUGCUUUACACAUGCAAGUCGAACGGCAGCACGGGGGCAACCCUGGUGGCGAGUGGCGAACGGGUGAGUAAUACAUCGGAACGUGCCCGGUCGUGGGGGAUAACGUAGCGAAAGUUACGCUAAUACCGCAUACGAUCUGAGGAUGAAAGCGGGGGACCUUCGGGCCUCGCGCGAUCGGAGCGGCCGAUGUCAGAUUAGGUAGUUGGUGGGGUAAAGGCCUACCAAGCCGACGAUCUGUAGCUGGUCUGAGAGGACGACCAGCCACACUGGGACUGAGACACGGCCCCGACUCCUACGGGAGGCAGCAGUGGGGAAUUUUGGACAAUGGGCGCAAGCCUGAUCCAGCCAUUCCGCGUGCAGGACGAAGGCCUUCGGGUUGUAAACUGCUUUUGUAUGGAACGAAAAGGCUCUGGCUAAUACCUGGGGCUCAUGACGGUACCGUAAGAAUAAGCACCGGCUAACUACGUG
rnacentral:rRNA from 1 species